rnacentral:rRNA from 1 species
CUUGCUUCUCUUGAGAGCGGCGGACGGGUGAGUAAUGCCUAGGAAUCUGCCUGGUAGUGGGGGAUAACGUCCGGAAACGGACGCUAAUACCGCAUACGUCCUACGGGAGAAAGCAGGGGACCUUCGGGCCUUGCGCUAUCAGAUGAGCCUAGGUCGGAUUAGCUAGUUGGUGGGGUAAUGGCUCACCAAGGCGACGAUCCGUAACUGGUCUGAGAGGAUGAUCAGUCACACUGGAACUGAGACACGGUCCAGACUCCUACGGGAGGCAGCAGUGGGGAAUAUUGGACAAUGGGCGAAAGCCUGAUCCAGCCAUGCCGCGUGUGUGAAGAAGGUCUUCGGAUUGUAAAGCACUUUAAGUUGGGAGGAAGGGCAGUAAAUUAAUACUUUGCUGUUUUGACGUUACCGACAGAAUAAGCACCGGCUAACUCUGUGCCAGCAGCCGCGGUAAUACAGAGGGUGCAAGCGUUAAUCGGAAUUACUGGGCGUAAAGCGCGCGUAGGUGGUUCGUUAAGUUGGAUGUGAAAUCCCCGGGCUCAACCUGGGAACUGCAUUUAAAACUGACGAGCUAGAGUAUGGUAGAGGGUGGUGGAAUUUCCUGUGUAGCGGUGAAAUGCGUAGAUAUAGGAAGGAACACCAGUGGCGAAGGCGACCACCUGGACUGAUACUGACACUGA